rnacentral:rRNA from 1 species
UGUGUUGGUGGUUAUUGUGGUCGGGGUACGCCGUCCCUUUCCGAACCCGGAAGCUAAGCCCGAUUGCGCUGAUGGUACUGCACCUGGGAGGGUGUGGGAGAGUAGGUCGCCGCCAACCA